GUUCGUUAGUUUUCUCUUUGGGGUUACCCCCCAUUCCCCAGUGUACCAGGUAUUGGAUCGAUUUCAGUUCCUCUUCUUUCACUAUGCCCAAAACAGUUCCAUGAAAUCAGUGCUAACAGUCGGUCAAGUUCAGUAGUCUUUAACAGGUUUCCCUGCAGGGCCCAUAGUCUGUGGGCAGGAGGCUGGCAAGCAGGCUCCUCCAGGAGCUUGUGACAAACUCACGAUGGAAGGGG